GGUUUCUACUAGCUGCUACAGAUACAUCCGCGGUUGCAAUUUGUAACACGCUUUUAUUGUUAGGAAAAUAUCCAAAAAUUCAGGAAAAAGUUCAUGAAGACAUCAUCUGGCUUUACUAUUCCUGUUCAAACUGGUAUAAUUAUUUCAAUUUGGGGAGCUCAUCGCGACCCCAAUUACUGGGGACCUGAUGCUGAUUGCUUCAAACCGGAGAGAUUUGAAGCUGGGGGUAAAACUGGGCUCUUCAUUCCAUUUAGUACAGGACCAAGAAACUGCAUUGGUUACCAAUAUGCAAUGUUAACAGCGAAAAGUGUUAUUGCUUCAAUGCUACGUCAAUUUAAAGUUGUCACUGAAGAAGAAGAUGGUCC